rnacentral:rRNA from 1 species
UACGUAGGGUGCAAGCGUUGUCCGGAAUUAUUGGGCGUAAAGAGCUCGUAGGCGGUCUGUCGCGUCUGCUGUGAAAACUCAGGGCUUAACCCCGGGCCUGCAGUGGGUACGGGCAGACUAGAGUGCGGUAGGGGAGACUGGAAUUCCUGGUGUAGCGGUGAAAUGCGUAGAUAUCUGAAGGAACACCUAUGGCGAAGGCAGCUCGCUGGGACGUUACUGACGCUGAGACGCGAAAGCGUGGGGAGCAAACAGG